AUGGCUGUAACAAAUAAAAAGUAUUAAAUUAAUAAAAAAUUAUAGAAUUUUACUGGGCUUUUAAUUUCUUGCAUCAAGUUUGAAUUGAUUGAGUUAGUAUAAUGAAACCAUAUAAAAACAUACAAAGUAUUGUAAAAACCUAGAACAGUUUCAAUUUUGUCAACUUUCUAUCAUCUAGAUAUCUUCGUAUUUUUAACACAUUAUUAUUAAAAAUAGGGUAUUAAAAAUAAAAUCCGAAUGAAAUUAUUAUUUCCUGUACACAAAUGAAGUCUGAAAUUGUUGUAAUCUAAAGGACAAGAUACCUGAUGCAUUCGUAUUGAGCGAUACGACUGUGCCGGUGUUCGAAUCAUGUAGGCAAUAGGCAUGUACCAAUUUUUAUAAUGAAAUACUCAGAAAUACGUAUCUACUUAACAAAUGUUCAAGUCACGAUGAAGGAAUAACAUCGUGUAAUACAAAUGAAACCCGCAAAAAUUACAAUUUACGUACUUACAGGUGUUUUUUUUCUACCUAAGCUGAUAGUCUUGAGAGCCAUUUCAGCGAAACCGUAACUAGUAAGUGAGCUCACGGGGCUCAAACCUGACGAUGUUGCUAACAGUAACCCUAGCGAGCGCAGUGCUUCGCAGAAUCUAUCACCGGAUCGGAAACGCGACCCACUGAGAAGAUCCGGCGAGAAACUCAGUGGGCUGUGUCUCUGGGUUAAUUUACUCGGCGAGUCCUUCGUCGCAAGCGACGGGCUCGACGAGAACGAUGACCGGUGCAUCCUAAAACCGGUGCAUCCGAGAACCUAAAAGCACCGUUAGUGGAUCGGGAGGCUCCGAAAUGACGUGUUUUGUGCAUUACUGUUGGUAGGGCGCGUUAUUAACCCGCACAAUUAGGUACCACCACCCUGCUUAUUUCCGCAGUGAAGCAGUAAUGGGUUUUGUUUUGUAGGGUGGGGCACCCCUGUAGGUAGCGGCCUCCCCCCAGUGAAGGUCAAGGGGCGACCUGAGGGGGCAGAGGCCGCGCUGGCGCUACCAGCACUCUAGCGUGCUGCCGAGGAGAUACGAAAGAGCGACCGGUUGGCGGUGUAUCGCGUCCCGACCCGACAGGCUGGUUCUGGUCCAGCGGGGUAUUCCGGGACACCAGCGGCACCGUCUGGGCGGCCUGACGGGCUGCCGUACCGAGACGGCCGACGUUUUAGAGCUUUCGAUUCGCCUCGAAGGCUCCGUCGGCUGGGCGUCCUUGGGGUGAGCCCCGCCGUCUGGUUGUAGUGUUGACCGCGGUAACCCCCCUACCUCAUCCGGAUUUUGACCUCGGAGGGGAGUCGUUUAGUGGGUGGGCCCUAAAAUCCUUGGGCCCGCGGUCUGCUCACAACACCAUGCAGACCGUUGAGUCUCACAUACCCCGCGCGCCCCUUUUGCGCGGGGACUUCGUAGGAGGUUCGGCCCCCUACCCGAAAAAAAAUUACGCUGAUGAUGUCUAGGGGCCACUUACACCACGUAACGUCUUCCGGCAAACGAUUUGCUAAUUAUGUCUUUGUAAGUCUAAUUUUAGGCGGCCACCGUAGUCUAAGUCCUUAUAGACAUAAAAACCUGUGAAGACACCAGAUCAAAGCUUCAAUUGAAUUAGGUAGAUAACCAUCACGGUUAUCGUUUCAAAAGUAAUGAUUGCUUCGUGACAUGAUGGUGCUACCACGUAUACGGAUUCAGAAUACAUCUUGCCACAGAGGUGAGAAUUAUUCGGGAGGACCAGAGGAAGGUUGUUAGAUUAAUGAGUUGAGAAUAUUGCAAAUUACUUUUAUUAGGCCAUGUUCGGAGCUAAUAUCACACAAGAUUCUCUAGUCUGAAGGAAUAAAAUGAAUAACACGUUGAACGCCACACUAGAAACCAUGUUUAGCCCGGCGGAGACUGGUAUCUGCCAUUUGAUAUCUCGGAAUAUUUGUACAUCGCUAUUUAUGAUCACGGAGCAGAUCCUCGGUGUGCACGACGAUGCCGAGCAGAUCCGAGCUCACGGCGCUCUGUACGGCCGCCGGGAUAGACAGACAUCUUGGGUCCCGGUACGGCUGGUACUUAUUAGUGAUACCCUAGAAUAAGUUUUCAGACUGUAUAUUACUGUUUUGAAUGUUCUAAAUAGACGUGUUUAUCAUUCAUAGAUAACAUGAAUAAAUAAGUAAUACAAAAACAA